UGAUGUCCAUAUUAUUGGGCCUAAAGCGUCCGUACUGGCCGACAAGUCUACCGGGAAAUCCACCGCCCAACGGGUGGGCGUACGGUAGAAACUGGCCGGCUUGGAACCGGAAGGCUCAGAGAGUACGUCCGGGGUAGGAGUGAAAUCCCGUAAUCCCGGACGGACUACCGAAGGCGAAAGCACUCUGAGAAGACGGCUUCGACGGUGAGGGACGAAAGCUCGGGUCUCAAACC
rnacentral:rRNA from 1 species